ACACUGUUCAUGGGUUACCGCGGCUGCUGGCACGGAGUUAGCCGGUGCUUCUUCUGUGAGUGAUGUCCUUCCUGCCGGUUAUUGACCCGCAGGCCUUCUUCCUCACUGAAAGUGCUUUACAACCCGAAGGCCUUCUUCACACACGCGGCAUGGCUGGAUCAGGGUUGCCCCCAUUGUCCAAUAUUCCCCACUGCUGCCUCCCGUAGGAGUCUGGGCCGUGUCUCAGUCCCAGUGUGGCUGAUCAUCCUCUCAGACCAGCUACGGAUCGUCGCCUUGGUGAGCCGUUACCUCACCAACCAGCUAAUCCGACAUAGGCUCAUCCGAUAGCGCGAGGCCCGAAGGUCCCCCGCUUUCCCCCGUAGGGCGUAUGCGGUAUUAGCCUGGGUUUCCCCAGGUUAUCCCCCACUACCGGGCAGAUUCCUAUGCAUUACUCACCCGUCCGCCGCUCGCCACCAGGGAGCAAGCUCCCCGUGCUGCCGCUCGACUUGCAUGUGUUAGGCCUGCCGCCAGCGUUCAAU
rnacentral:rRNA from 1 species